UCCCUGGUGACUCAGAUGGUAAAGCGUCUGCCUGCAAUGCGGGAGACCCAGGUUCGGUUCCUGGGUUGGGAA
rnacentral:tRNA from 1 species